UGGGAUGUAGCUCAGUUGGCAAGAGCGUGGCGUUCGGGACGCUGAGGUCGCUGAUGCGAGUUCCAGUCGCCCCAG
rnacentral:tRNA from 1 species